rnacentral:rRNA from 1 species
AUUGAACGCUGGCGGCAUGCUUUACACAUGCAAGUCGAACGGAAACAGGCCUUCGUGUCCUGUCUAGUGGUGAAGGGGUGAGUAAUGCAUCGGAACGUAUCCCCAGGUUGGGGAUAUCGCAUCGAAAGCUGUGCUAAUACCUCAUAUGAUCUGAGGAUGAAAGCGGGGGACCUCGCAGCAAUGUUCGGCCUCGCGUGUUUGUAGUUGCCGAUGUCGGAUUAGCUAGUUGGUGGGGUAAAGGCCUACCAAGGCGACGAUCCGUAGCUGGUCUGAGAGGACGAUCAGCCACACUGGAACUGAGACACGGUCCAGACUCCUACGGGAGGCAGCAGUAGGGAAUCUUGGGCAAUGGGCGAAAGCCUGAUCCAGCAAUGCCGCGUGAGGGAAGAAGGCCUUCGGAUUGUAAAACGCUUUUGGCAGGGACGAAACGAUGUGCGCUAAUACCGGGCGAUAUUGACGGUACCUACAGAAUAAGCACCGGCUAACUACGUG